rnacentral:rRNA from 1 species
UACGAAGGGGGCUAGCGUUGCUCGGAAUGACUGGGCGUAAAGGGCGCGUAGGCGGAUGGCCACAGUCAGGAUGUGAAAUUCCCGGGCUUAACCUGGGGGCUGCAUUUGAUACGUGUUGUCUAGAGUGAGGAAGAGGGUUGUGGAAUUCCCAGUGUAGAGGUGAAAUUCGUAGAUAUUGGGAAGAACACCGGUGGCGAAGGCGGCGACCUGGUCCUUGACUGACGCUGAGGCGCGAAAGCGUGGGGAGCAAACAGG